CAGCCGCCGUGGGAAUACGUAGGGUGCGAGCGUUGUCCGGAAUUACUGGGCGUAAAGGGCUCGUAGGUGGUUUGUCGCGUCGUCUGUGAAAUUCUGGGGCUUAACUCCGGGCGUGCAGGCGAUACGGGCAUAACUUGAGUGCUGUAGGGGUAACUGGAAUUCCUGGUGUAGCGGUGAAAUGCGCAGAUAUCAGGAGGAACACCGAUGGCGAAGGCAGGUUACUGGGCAGUUACUGACGCUGAGGAGCGAAAGCAUGGGUAGCGAACAGGAUUAGAUACCCCAGUAGUCCCUGUCUCUUAUA
rnacentral:rRNA from 1 species